UUUAGAACAAGCUGCUAGACUUGAUAUGUGGAAAUUAAUACAAGGGGAGUAAGAUUCAGAUUACCUUGUUGAUCAAAUAUCUCAACACAAGAACAUUGUUUGAGAUUCAAAU